rnacentral:lncRNA from 1 species
CACGAAAGCCCGACCUUUGUUCCAGAAAAGAACACUGAGCCUCAGAGAGGUCAAGCAAUUGGCCCAAGAUCACACAGCCUGCAAGAAACAGAGAUGGGACUCAGACCCUGGUCUAUUUGGCUCCCAUGUGCCUUACUACUAUGUUAUACCCACCCCUCCAGUCUCCUUCUAGGUCACCAGCUGGGAUGGGAGGCCAACUCUCCAAAUCAGAAGAGCUUUAUUGAAAA